AACGAACGCUGGCGGCGUGCUUAACACAUGCAAGUCGAACGCGAAAGUUUUCUUCGGAAAGCGAGUAGAGUGGCGCACGGGUGAGUAACGCGUAAGUAAUCUACCCUGGUAUCUGGGAUAACCCACCGAAAGGUGUGCUAAUACCGGAUACGCUGAGUAAUCAGGAAAGGUGGCCUCUUCAUGAAAGCUACUGUACCAGGAGGAGCUUGCGUACCAUUAGCUAGUUGGUAGGGUAAUGGCCUACCAAGGCAACGAUGGUUAGCGGGUCUGAGAGGAUGAUCCGCCACACUGGAACUGGAACACGGACCAGACUCCUACGGGAGGCAGCAGUGAGGAAUAUUGCGCAAUGGGGGAAACCCUGACGCAGCGACGCCGCGUGGAUGAUGAAGGCCUUCGGGUCGUAAAAUC
rnacentral:rRNA from 1 species